GCCGCCAUGGCUUAGUGGCUAAAGCGUUGGUCUUGUAAACCAAAGAUCCCGAGUUCAAAUCUCGGUGGCGGCU
rfam:Galdieria sulphuraria unplaced genomic scaffold scaf_42, whole genome shotgun sequence.